rnacentral:rRNA from 1 species
CUACCCUGCAAAUCCCCAAUCUGAAGGACUUCCUGGAUAUGGGCAGGUUACCUGAUCUUGGAAACUAAUUAGGGAUUGGACUUGGUUAGUAUGUGGAUGGGAGAUUGCCUGGGAAUAGCAGU